GUCCUGCUUAUUCCAGAGUGGUUGCUUCCCCUAUUCUUCCAUCCUAACUUCGGCUACAAGUUCGUGUUCCUCAAACCAUUCUUGACAGGAAGUUGGUUUGCCGUGGAAAUGUCGCUGCUGCCAAGCUGCUAAUUAAGUGGCAAGGGGAGCCCAAGGAGACUACUACUUGGAAGUUCGCUGAUGAUAUUCGUCAACGGUUUCCAAGCUUCCCCCUUGAGGGCAAGGAAGCUAGGAGGGGGAACUUGUUGCACGAUGAAUUGAAUUGCAUUAACAAGUGGCGAUAAAGUCUGGUACUAGGGAAAGAGAAGAAGAAGAGGAGUUGGUUGAUCCGAAAACGACGUGGUUGGACUUAGUGGUUGAUGCGAUAUGAUAUCGUAGAUUGAGUUGUUAUUUUGUAAUAAAAAACGGUGAUGUUUUCCAAUUUAUAAUAAAUGCGUUGGCACCUACUUAAGGCGGGAGAAUUUAAUGUAGAGAAAUGGGUUUUCAGUUGCAAACAAGUGUGUUUUCUUGGGAGAACAUUUGAAUGUGAAGCGCUUAGAGUUAGAACAAGAAUUUAUCGACUCGGAGGCCUUAAAAUUUAAAGGUGAAGAAGCUACAAACUUCUGUACGGCAAGUUUAGAAGACAAAAUGCCAUUUCUCCAGAUGCUUCAAACUGUAGAAACCCCAUCAGUUAUUUUGCUUGUUUUUUGUUACAAGAAAGACUGAAAAGAUGUUGAGGAUUAAGAGAGUGCCAACCGUUGUUUCGAAUUACCAAAGGGAGGAGACGGAAGAGGGUGCUCGUCGUAGCAACAGGUGUGGUUGGAAUUGUCUUAACAAGUGUUGUCGCAAAGAGGCAAGUUUUCCCUUGUAUCUGUUCCAAGAGCGUCAACAAGACUGAGACUGGAAAGGGAGUGCUUCAAAAUCAAAACAGAAUAUUUCUUUGUUAAUUAAGAAGAUUAUAUGUUAAUUAAAGUGGGUUUCAACAGUGACGAGAUUAAGAGAAUUAUAAACAUGUAUAUUUCUCUAGGUUAAAAGCAUUUUUUAUUUUCA